rnacentral:rRNA from 1 species
GAGUUUGAUCAUGGCUCAGAUUGAACGCUGGCGGCAUGCUUUACACAUGCAAGUCGGACGGCAGCACAGGGAAGCUUGCUUCUUGGGUGGCGAGUGGCGAACGGGUGAGUAACAUAUCGGAACGUACCGAGCAGUGGGGGAUAACUAAUCGAAAGAUUAGCUAAUACCGCAUAUAUUCUGAGGAAGAAAGCAGGGGACCAUUUGGCCUUGCGCUGUUUGAGCGGCCGAUAUCUGAUUAGCUAGUUGGUGGGGUAAAGGCCUACCAAGGCGACGAUCAGUAGCGGGUCUGAGAGGAUGAUCCGCCACACUGGGACUGAGACACGGCCCAGACUCCUACGGGAGGCAGCAGUGGGGAAUUUUGGACAAUGGGCGCAAGCCUGAUCCAGCCAUGCCGCGUGUCUGAAGAAGGCCUUCGGGUUGUAAAGGACUUUUGUCAGGGAAGAAAAGGGCGGGGUUAAUACCCCUGUCUGAUGACGGUACCUGAAGAAUAAGCACCGGCUAACUACGUGCCAGCAGCCGCGGUAAUACGUAGGGUGCGAGCGUUAAUCGGAAUUACUGGGCGUAAAGCGGGCGCAGACGGUUACUUAAGCAGGAUGUGAAAUCCCCGGGCUCAACCUGGGAACUGCGUUCUGAACUGGGUGACUAGAGUGUGUCAGAGGGAGGUAGAAUUCCACGUGUAGCAGUGAAAUGCGUAGAGAUGUGGAGGAAUACCGAUGGCGAAGGCAGCCUCCUGGGAUAACACUGACGUUCAUGCCCGAAAGCGUGGGUAGCAAACAGGAUUAGAUACCCUGGUAGUCCACGCCCUAAACGACGCUAACUCGUUAUCGGAUUGUAUGGAUCAGAGACUAAGCGAAAGUGAUAAGUUAGCCACCUGGGGAGUCCGCUCGCAAGAGUGAAACUCAAAGGAAUGGACGGGGGUCCGCACAAGCGGCGGAUUAUGUGGUUUAAUUGGAUGAUACGCGAGGAACCUUAACAAGACUUAAAUGGGAAUUGACAGCUGUAGAAAUAUGGUUUUCUUCGGACAAUUUUCAAGGUGCUGCAUGGUUGUCGUCAGAUCUUGCCGUGAGGUGGUAGGUUAAGUCCUGCAACGAGCGCAACCCCUGUCACUAGUUGCCAUCAUUCAGUUGGGGACUCUAGUGAGACUGCCUGCGCAAGCAGUGAGGAAGGUGGGGAUGACGUUAAAUUAUCUCGGCCCUUACGUCGUGGGCCACACAUGUAAUACAAUGGCCAGUUCAGGAAACAGCUACUAUGUGAAUAGAUGCGAAUCUCGAAAGCUGGUCUCAGUUCGGAUUGGAGUCUGCAACUCGACUCUAUGAAGCUGGAAUCGCUAGUAAUCAAGGGUCAGCCAUGGCGCGGUGAAUACGUUCCCGGGCCUUGCACACACCGCCCGUCAAGG